UACAGAGGUCUCAAGCGUUGUUCGGAUUCAUUGGGCGUAAAGGGUGCGUAGGUGGCGGGGUAAGUCAGGUGUGAAAUUUCGGAGCUUAACUCCGAAACUGCAUUUGAUACUGCCUUGCUUGAGGACUGGAGAGGAGACUGGAAUUCACGGUGUAGCAGUGAAAUGCGUAGAUAUCGUGAGGAAGACCAGUGGCGAAGGCGGGUCUCUGGACAGUUCCUGACACUGAGGCAGCGAAGGCC
rnacentral:rRNA from 1 species